UACGGGGGGGGCAAGCGUUGUUCGGAAUUACUGGGCGUAAAGGGUCUGUAGGUGGCUUGCUAAGUCAGACGUGAAAUCCCUCAGCUUAACUGGGGAACUGCGUCUGAGACUGGCGAGCUUGAGGGCAGGAGAGGAACGCGGAAUUCCAGGUGUAGCGGUGAAAUGCGUAGAUAUCUGGAGGAACACCGGUGGCGAAGGCGGCGUUCUGGACUGCAUCUGACACUGAGAGACGAAAGCUAGGGUAGCAAACGGG
rnacentral:rRNA from 1 species